rnacentral:lncRNA from 1 species
AAACUUCAAGAAAACCUACAAAUUAUUGUCAAUAUUUUUGUAAAAAAACGUCUAACUUUAAUUAUGCUGAUAACACACCAGUUAAUUAAAUCUUAAAUAAAGACAACAGUUGUAUACCGCUGUACAAACUCAUAAACCCAUGGACGAAAAAAAAAUCGGGGUAACAAACCAAAACCGAAGGAAACGCAUUAAAUACAAGAAAAGAACAACGACACAACAUCAAAAUGCAACUCACACAGAAACGGACAUAACAUCAAAACCAAACACAUGAAUUUGGAAUAGACAAGUACCGUGCCACGUCUUACGGUAAUGUGAACCCACACUCGAAAAUAAGGGAAAACAAACGACACAACGUUAAAAUGUAACACACACUGAAAUGAUGACUUGGUACAGGACAUUUUUAAAGGAAAAAAAUGUGGGUUGAACCUGGUUUAGUGGCAUGCGAAACCUCCCUAUUUUGAGGCCAUGUGAAAUAUAACAUUAAAAUGACAAUACAAUAUUAUUAAAUAGGAGAACACAAUUGACAAAG